rnacentral:rRNA from 1 species
GACGGAGGAGGCAAGCGUUAUCCGGAAUUAUUGGGCGUAAAGCGUCCGUAGGUGGUUAUUCAAGUCUUUUGUUAAAUAGUGGAGCUCAACUCCAUAGAUGCGGAAGAAACUGAGUAACUUGAGUGCGGUAGGGGUAGAGGGAAUUCCAGGUGUAGCGGUGAAAUGCGUAGAUAUCUGGAAGAACACCAGUGGCGAAGGCGCUCUACUGGGCCGUAACUGACACUGAGGGACGAAAGCUAGGGGAGCGAAAGGG